rnacentral:rRNA from 1 species
UGAGUAACACGUGGGCAAUCUGCCCUGCACUUCGGGAUAAGCCUGGGAAACUGGGUCUAAUACCGGAUAGGACCUUUAGACGCAUGUCUUUUGGUGGAAAGCUUUUGCGGUGUGGGAUGGGCCCGCGGCCUAUCAGCUUGUUGGUGGGGUGAUGGCCUACCAAGGCGACGACGGGUAGCCGGCCUGAGAGGGUGUCCGGCCACACUGGGACUGAGAUACGGCCCAGACUCCUACGGGAGGCAGCAGUGGGGAAUAUUGCACAAUGGGCGCAAGCCUGAUGCAGCGACGCCGCGUGGGGGAUGACGGCCUUCGGGUUGUAAACCUCUUUCACCAUCGACGAAGGUCCGGGUUUUCUCGGAUUGACGGUAGGUGGAGAAGAAGCACCGGCCAACUACGUGCCAGCAGCCGCGGUAAUACGUAGGGUGCGAGCGUUGUCCGGAAUUACUGGGCGUAAAGAGCUCGUAGGUGGUUUGUCGCGUUGUUCGUGAAAUCUCACGGCUUAACUGUGAGCGUGCGGGCGAUACGGGCAGACUAGAGUACUGCAGGGGAGACUGGAAUUCCUGGUGUAGCGGUGGAAUGCGCAGAUAUCAGGAGGAACACCGGUGGCGAAGGCGGGUCUCUGGGCAGUAACUGACGCUGAGGAGCGAAAGCGUGGGGAGCGAACAGGAUUAGAUACCCUGGUAGUCCACGCCGUAAACGGUGGGUACUAGGUGUGGGUUUCCUUCCUUGGGAUCCGUGCCGUAGCUAACGCAUUAAGUACCCCGCCUGGGGGAGUACGGCCGCAAGGCUAAAACUCAAAGGAAUUGACGGGGGGCCCGCACAA